rnacentral:rRNA from 1 species
UACGGAGGGUGCAAGCGUUGUUCGGAAUUACUGGGCGUAAAGGGUGUCUAGGCGGCCUGGCAAGUCAGAUGUGAAAGCCCUCGGCUUAACCGAGGAAGUGCAUCUGAAACUGCUAGGCUUGAAUACUGGAGGGGGUAGCGGAAUUCCUGGUGUAGAGGUGAAAUUCGUAGAGAUCAGGAGGAACACCAGUGGCGAAGGCGGCUACCUGGCCAGAUAUUGACGCUGAAGCACGAAAGCGUGGGGAGCAAAC